GACUUAAAGAAUAAGUUCAGCAGCCGACUGGACCUUUCAGUGUUCAUUCGUUCUGCAAGUAUGUACAGAGUGCCAAGCAUUUAGAGCUGGGCCACACGGAGCGUGGAGCCAGCGGACGUUAGGGUGCUGAAUACAGGUUUGAGGGGUGACGGUCAGGAUCGUGGUAUAUUUCCCCACUCAGAAAUAGCAUAUGACAAAUGUGAUUCCAACCUGGAGCGAGAAGUUCCCUAACGAGUGCCUGGGUGUGGGUUCACCUGUCUUCAGAAAACUCAGAUUGGGAGGCAGGAGGCGCGGCAAGAGGAGUGAGUGAGUAGGGGCGGGCUGAGCUCAGCCGCCUGGCCACUGCCGGACGUUGGGAAGAGCCAGCCGUAGUUCACAGCCAGGUCGGCCGCCGCUGUCCACACUGAGGCCACUCCUCCGGGCAGCAGUCAGGCGUCCGUCCGGGCUUUGGUGUCUCACCAAAGGUGUCUUGACCUCUUCUCCUGUUCGGUCCCCGGUCUGCUGCUACUUACUAGUCAUGUGACCCUGAGCAAAGCCCUUAACCUGUCUCCACUGGCCGUUCUCCUCUAAUGUGGAGGUAAUGUCCCUCCUGCCAGGGCAGCUGCAGCACUUAGCUCAGGGUCACACGAGCGGAUGGCCCGAGAAAGCUGUCCGGGAGGCCAUGGCUGGUGUGGCGGUGCUGCUCUGGGUCCCUGCUGUCCUUCUAGUGCCCUGUCUGCAUGCGUGCAUGGACACAGUGCGUGUGAGCACACACACACAAGUUCUGGGGCUCUGCGUGUGUCGAAUGUACAGAACGUGUGCUUUGGUGCCCUGUUGCCACUCAGAAAAGCUCUCUUUCACAUUCAGUCUCAUAGGAAAAAAAGUAUCUUCUUUCUCUGCAGGAGUCUUGACUCCCUGGAGCCUCUGCAAACAGCCCCGUGGGUGGGGUGACUCACUGUACUUAGACUGUAGCCAAUGUUUACCGCCAGGCCAGGCGUGGGGCUGGAGGGAUGGCCGGCCGACUCUCCAGGGGCACGUGUUGUAAACCAGGCCCUGGGGACCACGCAGGGCCUGCACUGGAGGUCAGCGUCAUCUUUCUGUUGCAGUGUCGCUGCUCCUGCCACUUUUCCGGUCAGCACGUCCUGGCUGGGGGUAAAAGAAAGACAGCAAGAUACACCAUUCUUAUCAGAGACUCACCUUUCCAAAUACAGAGCACUGUGUGUGCAUCACUGAUGCUGUUGUAAUUGCUUUUUACACGUGACUUCCGGAUGGCUCCCUUUGAGUGGUUGUGCUAAAUGAUUUGCUUCAAGCCCUGUGGAUUGGGAUGGGAAGGGGGAGCGUUACCCUCGGAGCCCUGGAGCCCGCAGGGUGGGAGGGAGAAGGAGAUUUAGAAUGUCUUAAGAUCUUCCUAUUCUUGGAUGGAAGUGCAGGUGUCAAGAGACGGCCAGCUUUCUGUUUUCUGGGCCAAGAGGAAGGCGCAUUUAUGAAUCCUGGAGUUAAUCUUGAAGCUUCAGUCGAACCAAAGGAGCUUAUGUUCUUAGUUAACAAGUGACAAAAAGAAAAAAAGAAACUUCUGAAUCUUCUUUUCCCUCUUUUGCCUUUUGAGAUUUUCAGAGAUUUACCAACACCCAAGGAAAAGAAUAUCCCUAAGAGAUGAAGUUCAGUUUUCUGAGUAAUCCGAGGUUGAUUGACAUGAUUUAUUCAGGUUGAAUUCAAGUCUGUCUUCUCAGGAAAAGUGAGAGAUCAGUUAGUUCCCUACUUUCUGCAAUCUGAACUCCCAAAUCUCUCCCCCUUGAGCCCAUGACAGUAGUUAAAAUGACAAUCCUUAAAAGUAACCAAUUUCUUUAAAUAUAUAAAUAGCCCAUGAGCUUCUAUCAGUCAGUCAUUCAUAUUCUAGUAUGAACUAGAUCCUUCACGUUUGAUUUCUAGAGUUACACUAAUUGCAUGGGAGAAAGGAGCAUAGGUUCUUCAAAAAGCCAAACAGUCUGGUACUGUCUCCCAAAGAUUAGACCAGAUGGGGUACCACUGGGGGAAGGUCUCAGUUUUGGGCUACCUAUGGACUAUCAGCUUUCCACUCUGCCACGCCAGCCUCAGGCUUCUGUGUCCUGGUCAGAAUAAGAUGCAGCAGACCGCACGUAGAGAGAAGAGGCCGAUCACCAUGGUACGUGGGCAGUGGCAGGGUGCUUGUGGACACGGGCCUCACUCCUUUACUCACUGUUUGUAACUGGUGCAGCGUUUGGGUGGUCUGGUCCUGGGGCAACACAAGGUGUUGUUAUUCUGUACUCGGCCCACACCCAAGAAGGAAUCUGCAGAAUUAUGUCUUCAUGACACACACGGGAAGGUCUGUGCUCAGCUUACCCGAAGCGGCACCACGGAACUGUGGUCCGUUUAGGAUUUGGGCCAGGCUCCGCCUGAUGCCGUGUCCACGCCACGUCCUUGUGCACCACACUGCGUCUCUGGGGGCUCGGAAAUCACCCCGGGGCUCCCCAAGUGCCCCUGUCUGUCAGUAACCACAACUGGUGACUGGAAAUGUUUGAGUAAACCUUGCCGGUCUCGGGUCCCCCGCACUUCCAGGUGAGAGUCAGAAACUGACCCAGGUAAAAGCAAAGGCAGCAGCCGCCCCCCGUCUGUGGGCCUGACCCUUCGGCCUGCUCCUCUCCCGUUGGCCGGGCCGUGGGUUUUGUUGCCCGAGGCAGUGAGGGCCUGGACGCGCAAUCUAACAGAAGUCACUCGUGUUUGUUAAAUGGGAAGCAAGCAUCGCCUCCGAGGGCAAUGAGAACAGCAAUUUCCACUGAGUUAAGGGGGUGGGGGAAUAAAGGGGAGGACACAGAUGCAUGAAGUGUCAACCGCUUGUUUGUCAUGUUCUGAGUCCUGGUCCCCCGCCCCCAUUUUUUGUUUGGAUAGAAAAUAGUGUUCCUUUUACACUUGCCUAGGUAUUCCAACAAAAACGGUGGAGGGAAUCCAGGGAAAUCAGUAGAUUGGUUAGGGUACCAGCGCAAAGCGUAAUGAAGCCACAGGUAGUUAGUGAUGACUUCUCACAGUGGGAAGGCGAGGUUUAUCGUAGCUGCAUCCUUGGUGUCAGUCCAGGAUUAGCCGGGGAAGAUCCCAGCAACGUACUAGCACCCAGGAAAACAAGGGUUCCUGCACGUGGGGUUGUGGGUGAGAAAUACACUCUAAAGGCUGUUUCACGGACCCCGUGUUUGGGAUUUUGUAAGCAGGUAUCACGUGUAAGUGUCCUGUGGUUCAAGGAAAAACACUAGGUUAAGCCAAGAUUAACACUAGGUUAAUCUUAACGUUGUUGGCUGUUAAUAAAUCAGUCUUUCAACCUUCCCUUGGCCAUUGAACUCACCACCAGGGAGCAGCUCCUGAGGCAGGACAGCGGGGUGACGAGGGAACCUGGGGCCAGGCCGCCUGGGUCCAAGUCCCUGCUCUGCCACUCACUGCAAGUCUGGCUCUAAGCCGGUUAUCUCGGUUUCCUCAUCUACAACAUGGGGAUCAAAUAUCUACCCCUAGGGCUGUCGAAACAGUAAAUAAGUUAAACCAGGUAAAGUGUGCGGAACUGCGCCUAGUGUUUGAUAAGUGCUCUGUAAGUCGUGGGACUCUAUUGCUGAUAUAAUUUUUGACACCAGAAGACUAGCCAUCUCUUUAAAUGGCGCUAAGUACCUACGGACAACUCCGUAAGACCCGAUGUCUCCAGGGCUAAUUGUUCGCUGUUUGCUUCAAAAUAAGUUACUACAGGGAUUUAAUUUUCCCCAGCAUGCGUGGAAUUCAGACAAGUUAAUU